GCUGAGACUAGAGUCACAUCCUGACAUGGUACUUGUCCUGGUGUGCUAGAGUUCUCGAAAGAGUAACUUCUGUCUUUUUAUUUAUUUUUAUUUUUAUUUUUUAUUUUUUUAUUAAUUUAUUCUUGUUACAUGUAACUGCUGUCUUGAUUCACUGAUAGGUGUCUUUCAGUUCGCUCUUAGUGCCCAGAUCAGACACAUGU